rnacentral:sRNA from 1 species
AGAUUUAGAGGGAGAAAUAGUUUCCCUAAGUUAUUCAUCACAGGGCAAAGUAUAGCAAUGAGAAAUGAGUAAGAUUAAAAAAACAACAACAACAAAAAAAAAACCAGACCUUCAGCAAGAACAGGCUUCCCCCCUCCCCUCUCCCUUUAAUAAACUACCUGGCUUUUUGCAGUACAAACACCUGAAAUGUAAACGUGACCCUCAUGUUAAGAUAGAAGGGAAGGACACUGAUGACUGGCUGUGCGUGGAUUUUGGCAGCAUGGUGAUUCAUUUGAUGCUUCCGGAAACCAGAGAAAUCUAUGAAUUAGAGAAAUUAUGGACUCUACGUUCUUAUGAUGACCAGUUAGCUCAAAUAGCACCUGAGACAGUACCUGAAGACUUCAUUCUUGGAAUAGAAGAUGAUACUUCAUCUGUGACUCCAGUGGAGUUAAAAUGCGAAUAAAAUAUUUUAUGCACUGCGUUAAGUCAUUUCAGA